rnacentral:rRNA from 1 species
ACUCCGUGCCAGCAGCCGCGGUAAUACGGAGGGUGCAAGCGUUGUCCGGAAUCAUUGGGUGUAAAGGGUGCGUAGGCGGGCGUCUAAGUCUGAGGUGAAAUCUUGCCGCUUAACGGUAAAAUGGCCUUGGAUACUGGGCGUCUUGAGUGUAGAAGAGGCAGGUGGAAUUCGUAGUGUAGCGGUGAAAUGCAUAGAUAUUACGAAGAACAUCAGUGGCGAAGGCGGCCUGCUGGUCUACAACUGACGCUGAGGCACGAAAGCGUGGGGAGCGAACAGGAUUAGAUACCCUGGUAGUCCAUGCCGUAAACGAUGAGUGCUAAGUGUUGGGAGGUUUCCGCCUCUCAGUGCUGCAGCUAACGCAUUAAGCACUCCGCCUGGGGAGUACGGCCGCAAG